rnacentral:rRNA from 1 species
AUGAACGCUGGCGGCGUGCCUAAUACAUGCCAGUCGAGCGAACGGACGAGAAGCUUGCUUUUCUGAUGUUAGCGGCGGACGGGUGAGUAACACGUGGAUAACCUACCUAUAAGUCUGGGAUAACUUCUGGAAACCGGAGCUAAUACCGGAUAAUAUUUUGAACCGCAUUGUUCAAAAGUGAAAGACGGUCUUGCUUUCACUUAUAGAUGGAUCCGCGCUGCAUUAGCUAGUUGGUAAGGUAACGGCUUACCAAGGCAACGAUGCAUAGCCGACCUGAGAGGGUGAUCGGCCACACUGGAACUGAGACACGGUCCAGACUCCUACGGGAGGCAGCAGUAGGGAAUCUUCCGCAAUGGGCGAAAGCCUGACGGAGCAACGCCGCGUGAGUGAUGAAGGUCUUCGGAUCGUAAAACUCUGUUAUUAGGGAAGAACAUAUGUGUAAGUAACUGUGCACAUCUUGACGGUACCUAAUCAGAAAGCCACGGCUAACUACGUG